UACGUAGGGUGCGAGCGUUUGUCCGGAAUUACUGGGCGUAAAGAGCUCGUAGGUGGUUUGUCGCGUUUGUCCGUGAAAACUCACAACUCAAUUGUGGGCGUGCGGGCGAUACGGGCAGACUGGAGUACUGCAGGGGAGACUGGAAUUCCUGGUGUAGCGGUGGAAUGCGCAGAUAUCAGGAGGAACACCGGUGGCGAAGGCGGGUCUCUGGGCAGUAACUGACGCUGAGGAGCGAAAGCGUGGGGAGCAAACAGG
rnacentral:rRNA from 1 species